rnacentral:tRNA from 1 species
CUGUUGGUAGCUCAGUGGUAGAGUGCAUGCUUUGUAUGUAUGAUGUCUUGGGUUCAAAUCCCAGCUGCUCCA